rnacentral:rRNA from 1 species
UGAACGCUGGCGGCAGGCCUAACACAUGCACGUCGAACGGUAACAGGAAGCAGCUUGCUGCUUCGCUGACGAGUGGCGGACGGGUGAGUAAUGUCUGGGAAACUGCCUGAUGGAGGGGGAUAACUACUGGAAACGGUAGCUAAUACCGCAUAACGUCGCAAGACCAAAGAGGGGGACCUUAGGGCCUCUUGCCAUCGGAUGUGCCCAGAUGGGAUUAGCUAGUAGGUGGGGUAACGGCUCACCUAGGCGACGAUCCCUAGCUGGUCUGAGAGGAUGACCAGCCACACUGGAACUGAGACACGGUCCAGACUCCUACGGGAGGCAGCAGUGGGGAAUAUUGCACAAUGGGCGCAAGCCUGAUGCAGCCAUGCCGCGUGUAUGAAGAAGGCCUUCGGGUUGUAAAGUACUUUCAGCGGGGAGGAAGGGAGUAAAGUUAAUACCUUUGCUCAUUGACGUUACCCGCAGAAGAAGCACCGGCUAACUCCGUG